rfam:Danio rerio chromosome 7, GRCz11 reference primary assembly.
CCAAAGGCUCUUUUAAGAGCCACCCAUACGUUCUUUAAAUGAGCUU